rnacentral:rRNA from 1 species
UACGGGGGGGGCAAGCGUUGUUCGGAAUUACUGGGCGUAAAGGGCUCGUAGGCGGCCAACUAAGUCAGACGUGAAAUCCCUCGGCUUAACCGGGGAACUGCGUCUGAUACUGGAUGGCUUGAGUUCGGGAGAGGGAUGCGGAAUUCCCGGUGUAGCGGUGAAAUGCGCAGAUAUCGGGAGGAACACCAAUGGCGAAGGCAGCUCGCUGGGACGUGACUGACGCUGAGACGCGAAAGCGUGGGGAGCAAACAGG